AUGGAAACCAAGAAUAUUGCAGCUCUCGUCUUCAUCAUCGCUGCCCUUCUUUGCCACCUGCGCACAGGUGACGCCCAGCGAUCCUGCGGAAAGUCGGACAUCACGAUCGCGGUGCGCAAGACGGGGAAGGUGGUGGGCAGGCAGCCGGAGUACGAGGCGACGAUCGGGACGUCGUGCUCGUGCCCGAUGAAGGACGUGCGCGUGUGGUGCGGUGGCCUGGAGGACAGCGCAGUGCCGCUGGACGGCGGCAAGGUGGAGGUGGACGAGGGGAUGUGCGUCCUCAAGCAGCCUGUCGUGAGGGGCUCGCCGCUCGUCCUGAGAUACUCCUCGGUGGUGCCGGUGAACUUCCGCGUGUUCAACGCCGCCCCUUACUGCUAA
rnacentral:rRNA from 1 species